CAGCAGCAGCCGCGGUAAUACGUAGGUGGCAAGCGUUAUCCGGAAUUAUUGGGCGUAAAGCGCGCGUAGGCGGUUUUUUAAGUCUGAUGUGAAAGCCCACGGCUCAACCGUGGAGGGUCAUUGGAAACUGGAAAACUUGAGUGCAGAAGAGGAAAGUGGAAUUCCAUGUGUAGCGGUGAAAUGCGCAGAGAUAUGGAGGAACACCAGUGGCGAAGGCGACUUUCUGGUCUGUAACUGACGCUGAUGUGCGAAAGCGUGGGGAUCAAACAGGAUUAGAUACCCGAGUAGUCCCUGUCUCUUAUAC
rnacentral:rRNA from 1 species